AUUGAACGCUGGCGGCAUGCUUUACACAUGCAAGUCGAACGGUAACAGGGUGCUUGCACCGCUGACGAGUGGCGAACGGGUGAGUAAUACAUCGGAAUGUACCCAGUAAUGGGGGAUAACGCUUCGAAAGGAGUGCUAAUACCGCAUACGCCCUGAGGGGGAAAGUGGGGGACCGCAAGGCCUCACGUUAUUGGAGCAGCCGAUGGCUGAUUAGCUAGUUGGUGAGGUAAAGGCUCACCAAGGCGACGAUCAGUAGCGGGUCUUAGAGGACGGUCCGCCACACUGGAACUGAGACACGGUCCAGACUCCUACGGGAGGCAGCAGUGGGGAAUCUUGGACAAUGGGCGAAAGCCUGAUCCAGCAAUGCCGCGUGUCUGAAGAAGGCCUUCGGGUUGUAAAGGACUUUUGUCGGGGAGGAAAUCCCCAGCGUUAAUACCGCUGGGGGAUGACAGUACCUGAAGAAUAAGCACCGGCUAACUACGUGCCAGCCGCCGCGGUAAAAC
rnacentral:rRNA from 1 species